CUUUGUCCCCUCGUUUGUGGAGAUCUCCCUCCAUGAAUCAGAGGCCAUCCGGCGUCCUCAUAGUCCGCCCAUGACGGCUUGUACAAGCGCUCAUAUUUAAAAGCUCUUCAAUCUGAUCCGUUCUCUCGUAAACGUUCUUCCCUUUAAUAACGGCCGUAUUGUGCUGUGAAAACGGAGACGUGAGACUCUAAAGGACGUAGUCAGCAGACCAAUCACAGCCUGGUGCUGCAGGACGCUGCGUCGCUUACACGCUAGUCUAGAACAAUGGGUCGACGCACACAAGGAGGCGUGAAAAGACACGCAAGGGACACGCGAGGGACACGCGAGGGACACGCGAGGGGGUCUUGCGUCUGCGUGUCCUUGCGUCGCUCUGAAAACGCGGAAGCAUAAACUAGGUUUAACACUGAUUCUGAGGUCGGGCUCAUCUGGUUCAGCUGUUUUACCUCUAGUUUCUCUGGCAAAGUUCUUCUCUUGUACCGAGUUCGGGUCGGGUCUUCUUGAAGGACACUGCCGGUGGUCGCUCUUGUUAUGUUGUUAACCAGCGCGUCAGAGACUCACCUUGAUGACGGGCGGCGAAGGGCGAGCUCAAAUCUCAAUGUAUUUUAGGACGCUGAAAUGAUAAUGUCACUUAUUAACUUUAUCAUUGAUUGGCUAACUGCUUCUUAGACCCGCCUCCUUGGCACUGUGCCCGAGCCCAGCUGAGACUAGGAUUGCAACCUUUAGUACAGAAAAAUAAGGGACCCUACGCCCGACCGGGACGGGUGCAACCCUAGCUGAGACAUGCGGACAAGCGGCGAGGACGUGCAGGAAAAGCGCAUAUUUUGCGAGGUAUUUUCAAAUAUUAGCAGGUAUAUUAUCCAUGAUUCAAAACGACAAAAAGACAAAUAUUGACUAUUUAUAAUAUAUAAAUAUAUAUAACAAACAACAAAAAUUACUAUUAUAUAUAUACUAUAUUUUUAUUUUUUUUCAUCCCUCAUGGUGGGGCCACGCCCCAUUGCAGCCGCCACUGGAAGACGCCCCUUAAGUUCCUGCUUAACGGGGGGUUGGAGCUUCCUUUUUGCUUUUCCAUCCUCCACUUCAUCGUUGUACAUUAAAGAGCCUUCCUCUUGGGAUUUAUCUGAGAACGAGUCUGGGCCGGGAGUGAAACCAAAUAUUUAUUUAUGAAUUCAACCUCACUGAGUACAGUUCAUUCCUUAUAUUCAAUGAUAAUCAGUGAUAAUCAAUGCCAACAGGCCCCGGCAGAGGCUGUAAUUAUGUGUUGUUUGUGUGUGUGUGACAGCCUCGUCCUACGGCAACAUAGCAGAGUCGUUUCCUCCACCUCCCUUCAUCGUUGCUCGAAGAACAAAGUUUAUUAAAGUUCAGCUGCGAAUGCUGCAUGAAAAAUGCUAGAUUCAGGUUUUGUCGGGUGAGAGGGGUCGGCUACCAUCUUUUUAGCUGCUUCAGAGACCUGGAAGCGAACAAGUCCUCCAGGGACGGCAGAUUGCAGCCGAUCAGCCUCUCUGCAGAGCGGAGGACACGCUGCAGCCUGCCCUUGUCCUUGGCUGUGGCUGCAGCGUACCAGACGCUGAUGGAGGAGCAGAGGAUGGACUCCAUGAUGGCCGUGUAGAAGAGGACCAUCAUCGUCUUUGGCAGGUUGAGUUUCUUCAGCUGCCUCAGGAAGAACAACCUCUGCUGAGCCUUCUUGGUGAUGGAGCUGAUGUUCAGCUCCCACUUGAGGUCCUGGGUGAUGAUGGAGCCCAGGAAACGGAAGGAGUCCACAAUAGUGACGGGGGAGUCACACAGGGUGAUGGGGGAGGGUGGGGCUCUGUUCCUCCUGAAGUCCACAACCAUCUCCACUGUCUUUAGAGCGUUGAGCUCCAGGUUGUUCUGGCUGCACCACGACACCAGAUGGUCAGACUCCACCUGUAGGCGGACUCGUCCCCACCAGAGAUCAGUUCAAUGAGGGUGGUGUCAUCCGCAAACUUCAGGAGCUUGACGGACUGGUGGCUGGAGGUGCAGCUGUUGGUGUACAGGGAGAAGAGCAGAGGGGAAAGAACGCAGCCUUGGGGGGAACCGGUGCUGAUGGUCCGAGAGGCUGAGACAUGUUUCCCCAGCUUCACGUGCUGGAAUUUUUCUAUUUUUCUCUUGGCGACUUACAUAAGUGCUUUCAAUCAUGAGGGAACAGACUCUCAGCCGAGCUCAGGAUGGAGAAGCUGCUUCAUCACUGUGAUUUGAGCUUUCAGCAGAUGUCCAUGGCUCCAGCAGGAUGAACACCUGACAUUCUGUCCUACGUCAGGUCGACAUUUUUACCCGCGACGCCGAUAAGCCGGGUGGAAUUUAGUCUGUUGAUAUGUGUAAAAAGAAAAGCGGUGAAAAUAAUAAAAAGGAUUCAAUUAACAAACAGCCACCGCUAAGUUUAAUUAGCCUCCCCACUGCUCGCUAACGAGGAUGCUAACGAACCAGCGGCAAGCUCGUUUGUCGAGCUGGCGAAGGCUGGACAAAGCUGACGGCUGCAGGGGGGAGGAGGGUGUGAUUGGCAGGUCGCAGCAGGGGGCGGGGCUUUGGCUAAUUGCAAAGUUAAGAAACAGCAUGAGUUCAUGUUGUUGCACUUUUUGUUUCAUGGAAGCAGCGCCAUCGAUCGGCGUGUUGUUUACGUGUCCGAAUGAAGAAGAAAGGUUAUCAGGUAUUGACGAGUAGCUGAUGGGUUGUGACCUUUGGCUUCGCUCAGGGGGGAGAGGGCUCGGGGGGGCAACAGCCCAGCAGGAGACCGAAUAAGUUUAUUCCAUACUUAUUAAAACUCAACGGAAGGUCGUCAUAGAGCUGCACGUUCAGUUAAAGUGUUAACGUUUGCAUUAUGAGGCGGAUAUGGUUUCUUCUCUCUACUCGACUAACAGAAUGUACUGAGGAUGUGCCCCUGACCAAUGAAGAGCAUUGGUGAACAGAUAUUCCACACAGAUAUGUAGUGUUUUUAAGUAAAAAGAGCCUAAAACAGGACGGGUAAGUCGUGUUAAAACCUAUUGGUUAUUACAUUGAUAUUUUCCUGAACAAUAACACAUGCCUCUUCAUAUAGACACACUAAACCGUGGAAGUUGGGGAACAAACAAAUGAGUAAAUGAACAAACAGGAGCUCCAGACAGGAAUAUGAAACUUUAACAUGAAACAUCAUCACAGGUUAUGAACAUAUUCUUCAUUUUUCUGUUUCAAGACAACGACGUGAACGUCUUUAAUCCCGCCUCUUUGUCUAAUUGGUCGAGAUGUUUUCCAUCACAAGCAGGAUUUGGACUAAUAGUAGAAGUGCAGGAGAAUCAGAUCGGUUUUAUGAUGAAGCUGAGGACUCUCACCAUGUGACUGAUCACAGGUCAUUUUCUGUCAUUCGGUGAUGCAUUCAGGACGACUAAGGAGCUGAUGGUGAAGUCACAUGACCAUGUGCUUUCUGGGUUAGAGGAUCCACUGAGCUUCUUUCUCUUUGGUUUCCUCCGUUCUGCACCUGUCGGCAUUGACCUGAAUGUCUGAGGGACAUGAAACCAGCUGGUGUAGUGAGUGCCCCCCCCCCUACACACACACCACUAUGACACUGCCCACAGAGGAGUCAUUGGGCUCUGCCCCCCCAACAAGCACCUGUAUUCCAUUUCUCAUCUGGUCUCGCCGGAGAGCUCUAAGCCUUGUUUUAAUCCUCGCUAGAAAACAGCUUUCAGAGGAUUAGCACCGAGGGAGGGGGCUCCUUUCGCCUCCUUCUUCUCCCCUAGACAAGUUAACCUUCCACACAGGACUCUGCAAAGGCUUCCACUUUUAUCCCGCCUUCCUUCCCGUUGAUACCCAGUGGCCUCCGUUACAGCCCCCCCCCCUAAAGCCGUAACUUCACUGAGUAGUUCCACGCUAUCUGGAGGAAGUCGACCUCCCCGUAGUAGAGCUACUGUGUGAGGUGCAGGUCAGAACCCCCCCUUACAAUACGUAUGUUGGGGGUGGGUGUAUUAUUGUUCCCCAGUGGGUGUUUAUGUGUUGAUGUGAACAAAGACAGGAUUAUUCCGUUAAUGUGUGUGUGUGGCCACGCCCCCCCGCGGCGAGAUGGUAAAUUUAACUUGUUUCUUCUUCUUCUUUCUGUAAACCCUGUUAACGGAGCGUCUUGACAUGUUUUAGGAGCAACGAGAGAUGAAAGCAGGAAAAGUGGCUCCUGUUCCUCCACGUUCCCAUUGGACGGCUUGCCUGCCGCUCUUUUGUCUGGGAACCAGGGAAGACUCCUCCCAUCUGAGCUUUGUGAAUAGCUGCCGCUGAUGACCGGGAAGAAGCCUUAACUGAUGUGGGUGGAUGGAACCCGCUCAUGAUUAGCCUAGCUUAGCACAAAGGAAACCCCCUUUUAGCAACUCAAAGUCAGCAGAUGGUGAUGAUGCAGACGGACCUCAGCAUGUUUCUAUGAAGGUGAACCUUCAUUCACCUUCUCAUCCAUAGGUUUGCUAAUUCCACCUGGGCUGUCAGAAGUAGGCACAGCUCUCUCCUCAUUGGACACCAGGAAAGAAGGACAUCGUGGGGGUCGUCGUGGCGCAGGGGUAGAGAGGGUGCACUGGGAACUGUAAGGUUGGUAGUUCGAGUCCUGGCUGCCCCAUGUCCAAGGUGGAGUGUCCUUGAGCAAGACACCUAACUCCUAAUUGCUCCCUGGGCAAAAACGUAAGUCGCUUUGAAUAAAAGCGUCAGCUAAAUGACCUGUAAUGCGAUGUGAUGGUCAUUCUCUCUUUUAGAUCCGGCUGGGUCUCCACCGGCUCUGGAGACUCUCCACCUUCUCCCCCAGCUCACCUUGAUUACAUCACAUGUCAUUUAGCUGACGCUUUUAUCCAAUGUAUCAGUGAAGUUUCAAUGGUGGAACAGCAUUGACAGAAACGCUUCAGGUAAAGCUUUUUGAGAAGAACAUUGUCUCAAACGCCUCUGAAAGGUCUUUUCUUGUUUCUGGAAAGCGUCAAUCAAAGCGCUCCAGCUGAUUUUUGUUGAAUUUCUUUAAUGUUUUUACAACGUUUUGUUGGUUUUUACUCAUCGGAGUGAAAUGAUGUUUUCUCCUUCACAAGCCUCCGUCACACUAAUCAAUCUGCUGUUAUUCAAACAUUCUCCGAUCCCUGUUGCGUUAUUUACAUUUCAGAAGGUACAAAUGACACGGGUCAAAGCGUCUGGAGGAAACCGGAAGAUGUUUUCUCUCUCCGGGUGGAGGCGGAGGACGGGGAUUAAAUGGGGCUUAUUGAUCGUGGAUCAGCGGUUACUCUCAGACGAAUGCGUUCAUGGUUGCAUUCAGGGGGUUAAGCACUGAAGCUGAGCUGGAGAAGCAGCAGACAGUUAAUUAUUUUGACUGUUCACCUCCGGCUGCACAAAAGAAAAAAGGAGCUGAGCCUUUUGUCUGCUGGUAGACGCCACGUGCUAAAGGUUGGUAGACCCACGGUGGUUGUGACAUUAAUACUUAAUUCUAGACACUACGGUUUAAUAUCAGCAUUCCUCACACUGUGCUGCCCCAACAUGCUCAGGUACGCGUUCUGCAUUGUGUCUUUACAGACAUGAUCAAAAUGACGUUGCCAUGGCGACCUGCUUUCACAGCUUCCUUUUGUUAGUUUCUCUGUUGAUAAUUUUGGGACUGACCAUUGAAGUCGAGGUUUUUACUGUUUGAAUUUGGUGAACUGUCCAAAGAAAGCGAGAUUAGUGCUGAUGGUGACGGAUUAUGUAUCUGAGCCUCGCUAAUCGAAGCCAGGAUGCAAAUCAAUCUGCACACCGAAGGCCCCCUUCUACAGGAACACAUUUCAUUUCUUGAUCCAGCUCCAGAUUUAAGAUCCCCCUUCUUUUCAGUGUCAACAUUGUCAAACAUUUUCAAAGAGCAUCUGAAGAGAACACAGAACAAGUGUUGACUGAAAAGGAGAUUUACUACUCCUCCUCCUCCAGAGAGCCUUUUGUGAGGAGCGAAGAAAAGACCGAAAUAAUCUAAUCCUCUAAGCAGGAGGAACACGACCGAGAAGAGACAUGAAACAGAAAAUUCAUUUAUCUGUCUGCUGAAUGAUGACAAGACAACAACAACAACAUCAACAACUACAUGGCCUCAGGACACAAGCAUCAGCUGGAUGAAAAGAGUUUUUUUAUUUUUACAAACUUUAUUCAAACAAAGCGUGAAACAGGACCAAAACAGUUAUUCAUGCAUCAAAACGACAAAGCGUAAAACGCAGCGUUAAAUAUCCACUCGUCUCCAGACACGCAACACAUCACCUCCGUGUAGCACCGUUUCUGAACCAAAUCCAAAUGUUAUUCAUUCUUUUAAAAGAUGUAACGCCACGUGGCUCUGCUGCUGUGGAUGGUCAGCGUGGCCUCUCCUGUCACCAGGACCAGCAGUGACACUUAUAUAUUCAUACAUAUAUAUAUAUAUAUAGAUCAGAUCUCAAUGUGAAAACAAGGAUAUUGGAUAUCUAUACUGAUAUGAAUAGUUUAAUGCCUUUAAUAAAAAGAUCCCAAAUCUUUUCAUGGAAAUAAAAAGGUUUGAGGCUACAAGGGGCUUAAUUUUAUAGACAAAAAUUAUGAAAAAUUAAAAAAAAUUAUGUCGCAGUCCAUUUUGCCAAAAUUCAGUUUCUGCAAUUCAAAAUGCUUCUUAAUAUCUUCAUCAUGUGGCCGCCAGUUGACAAUUUGCGUUGUUUGCAACCAUUUGUGUGUGCAUUGACUUUGCAUGGAAUCCAAAAAAUGUGCUUACCCUUUGGCGUGAACGCAGCAUAAGCAGACGGAGUUCACGGAGGCAUCAGAUGAUCUCUGCGGCCUUCCCUCUUUGAAGAGAUGAAGACCUUGUGGUUAUGAAUUAGUCUGGAAUAUUUAUUGUUUGUUAACAUCCUUCAAAACGUGUGUAUUUAUGCUAAAUUGCUUUGAUCAAAAGCCGUCGCCAAAGAAAUCAAAUUUCUUUUAUCUUCAGUGAAGGCAUCAGGCUUCUAUCUUUUCAUUAACUUAAAUGAAGUGCUAAUUAAAACAUUCCGGUUGUACAGAAUUGUUGAAGGUUGAGAAAUAUAAUUUCAGACUUUGAGCUGAAAACAUGAAAAAGAAGUCAAACAAGAAACACUCAUCAAAGAUGAAUGAAACAAAGGACACAUUUAGAGAAGCUUUGGGAAACUGGUUGAUCUCAGGUCCUCUCUUCUUCUCUCCAAAGAUCUCAGGUCCUCUCUUCUUCUCUCCAAAGAUCUCAGGUCCUCUCUUCUUCUCUCCAAAGAUCUCAGGUCCUCUCUUCUUCUCUCCAAAGAUCUCAGGUCCUCUCUUCUUCUCUCCAAAGAUCUCAGGUCCUCUCUUCUUCUCUCCAAAGAUCUCAGGUCCUCUCUUCUUCUCUCCAAAGAUCUCAGGUCUUCUCUUCUGCUCUGUCCACUUAGCAUGGCAGCACUCCCCUGAGGAACGGAGGCCUCUGAUAGGUCUAAUGUUUCAGGUCUUCCUGCAAGAAAAUAUGCUGAAUUGUUGAAAGCAGGAGACAAAGCGGACGCCCUCAUCCCGCGGAGCCGCCAGAAGCGUCCUCCAUGCUGACAUGUCAGAGGAGGCUGAUUGGCCGUCACGUCGAGCAGAAAUAAAGAGACGUUGAUGAUUAAAUUUGCUGGCAGUCGGCGCAGCAGAAAACCGUUGUCUGUUUUUACAUUGUUAGUAAUCCUGUUAAUGGAAAGUGUGCUGCCAGAGACGGGGGACGGGGACGGGACGGUUGUUCCUGCGCCAAAAUAAAACAUUCGUUGAGCCGUGAAUCGGUUGUUUGAUAGCAGCAGAGCGAGUCCCCUCUCAGUCCUGGUUCUGGUUCUUCUGGACUGAAUAUAUUAGAUAGAAAAGAUUCAUUUAACUGAAUGAAGUUUCUUCUCUGAGAUUAAAACUAUAUAUUCACGACAAUGACAUCAUGACUUCAAUGUGAUAUCAUAUUUAAACCUUUUAAUUAUCAUUUAAAGUGGCCUGUGUAAAGACACAUACGUAUGUAUAUUUUUUCAGUUUGUUAUUGAUUAUUAUGUUUAUUUGAUUACUACAUUUCAUACAGAUGUUUAUUAAAAAAACAUUGUCAUUCAGUAACAAACAAACAGAUCUCACUCAUGCUGCAGAAGAAACUCAUUUUUUAUCUCGGUAUUAUUCUGUGAAUCAUUUCCUUCUCUAAUGCGAGUUCUGCUUUAGAAUUUGACAGUUCAUCUGCUUUCGGUUAUUAAUAGAAAAUAAUCUUAAACCUAUAAGACUUCAUUCAGGAAACAUAACCUGACCCGGAUAACACGCUGUAUCAUAUUUAAUAUGGAAGCAGGCACAAAUAUCUCAGUCUCUCAGAAUGUGAAGCCUCCAAGAUGGUGUGUGACAGACGGAGGGACAAGUGAUGGACCAGUGCCGCCCCCCGCCCCCCGUAGAGGGCCGCAGUGCUACCAAUGGCUAAUUAAUAAAAAUGAUCUGACAGAUGGUGCUGCGGACUAUUUCCCCCCACAGGACGGCGAGGAGACGAGCCGCCGGCCCGGUAAGGAACAACGCUCUGGUCCCGUCUCUGGUCCCGCCCCAUCAGAGGGAGGUGGGGGCAUUAAUGGAGGAUUGGAAGAGACAAAGAGGAGGAGAUUGUUGGAAAAAUGUUGCUCCUUCCCUUUGGACGUGAUCUGAUCGCAGGCUGCUUUUAUUGGCUUGUGGAAUAUUGGUGGAGCACAGGAUUAGAUUUGCCCCCCCGCCCCACCUUCCUCCCUCAGCUUCUACCAUGGAGCCUCAGAAAAAGCAGCUUUGGAUCGAUUCAGAGGACAAAAAUGGGAUGACGGAAACAUAAACAGAUUAUAGACCACUGAAACGGCUUCAUUUCCAGGCAGGGGACAAACCCACAACCCCCCCCCCACACACACACACACACACACACACACACACACACACACACACACACACACACACACACAGCUUUAGUUCUUCUCCAUCCCCACUGCACUUUGACAUCAAACACGUUUAUUGGACAUUAAGGAUUAUUACUCCUGCAAAGUUGUUUGAACUCUUUGGUGGAGCACAUUUUGGUCCAGAUCUUCUACGCAGGCCCACUUCAUACAGACGGGUUUGGUGGGGAUUCUUUGGCGCCGGUACUCUUAUCAAUGCUCUUAUACAUCCGGUUCCUUAAUUAAAAAAUCAAGAACUUGAUCAACAUUUGGAAAAAAAAAUGUGCCCCUUUAAAUGUUUUAUUAUACAAACGUUGUUUGGCUCGAUGUGUCUCUCAGUGAUGAGAUGUCCUCAGUCUCACGGCUGUAGUGAAACAAUACGCUCAUUCUCAUUUCUUAGAAUGUAAGAAAGUUUCUUUUAAUUCCAUCUGUAGAACCGCUCUGCCCUGUAUUUUUUAAUUUUUAAUUUAAUAUUAAUAUACUGUUAUUCGUCAAUACAGUUGAAAACUGUAAAAUAUAGCAGUUGACGUCUUGGAACAAAAUAUUUUUUACAGCUGUUUAAAGUUGCGGUAUAGUACUGCAUUUAAUCCAUUGACUCUAACUCCGCCCACUACUUGCAUCAUAUAAUCACUGUAGCAGCUGCAUGUAAGUUUAUGUAAGUAUAACUUAGAUAGAUAUGUCUAAUAUAUAUUACAUAUUUCUAUAUAUCUAUAUAUGCAUGUGAAUUUCCCCAUUGUGGGACUAAUAAAACCAAGUCACAGCAACCCAACCGCCAAGUCAAAUUCCUUGUAUGUCUGACAUAUUAUGGCAAUACAUUUCUUGAUAUAUAUAUAUAUAUAUAUUGAUGAGCCACACCUGAGCCGGGGUGGCUCGGCCUUAAAGAUCCAUCCAUUCAGAAACCGGGGGUUCACUGAGAAGAAGACCUGGGGGGUAUUCCAGAAAGCAGGUUUAGUGUAAACUCAGAGUUUGUUAACCCUGAGAUGAGGGAGGUAACUAAAGCUCAGGCUCAGUCUCCAUGGUAACUGAGCCCGUGAACAUCACCUGGUCGCGAGCAGGUUUUCUUUCUCCCUCCACAGGCUCCUCCCUCUGACAGCAGCCCAGCCAAUCACACAGCGCGCUUUACUUUCCUCAUUCACUCUGUAUCAGUUUACACAUAUGAACAAAAUAAGAUGUUACAAUCGCUAACAAGCGUUUGUCCAAACAGUUGUCACAUUUUAAAAACUCUAAACACAAUUAGCACAGCAUCGGUGUUUUGUGGCCAAACAAACACAUUUCAUGUCGUUUUCACACAAUAUGCAGUCAGUGAACACAUGUCCACAAUGCUUACAUUUGUCUUAACAGACAAGCCAAACCUCCCAACAAAACCAUGGAUUGUUUUAGUAGUAUUCACAAAUGUUAACACACACCAUCCCACAAUAGCAAAAACAAUAUUCCAAACCGUAGAUACAGUAUAAAAACCUCGGCUUCUGCAAUGAUAUCAGUUCAAAAACAAUAUAUCUUAGCUGAUAAUGAACAAACUAUUGAAUAAUUGACACACAGCUGAUUUAUGUUGGGUAAAUUGGGCCAACAACAGCUGAUUCCAGUCUGGCUUAUUUAAGGAGGACUUUGAGGAGUGAUGUUUUUGGAAACAGAAAAAGACAAACACUGUAAUGUCUGGACGAGGAAGAGGAAGAGCAAGGGGCCCAGGGAGAAGACCAGGUCCAGUGAGAGGUGCAGGUGCAGAAGGAGGUGCAGGUGCAGGAAGAGGAGCAGUGAGAGGUGCAGUAGGAGCUGCAGGUCCAGUGAGAGAUGUAGAAGGAGGUGCAGAAGGAGGUGCAGGUGCAGGAAGAGGAGCAGUGAGAGGUGCAGUAGGAGCUGCAGGUCCAGUGAAAGGUGUAGAAGGAGGUGCACUGAGAGGUGCAGGAAGAGGAGCCGGCCCAAGGAGAGAGCAAGGUAGAGUUGUAAGAAUGAGUGGUGGUGGCAUUCCAAGGGCUGCAAGAACUGUAGUCAGUGAUGAAAUUCGUGCCACUAUCAUUGACCAUGUAAUCAACCACGGUCUCUCACUAAGAGUCCAACCCCCCAGUUUGAGUCGGUUGCCUCCAUUAUUCGUAUCUUUCAACAAACCAACAGGUAAGUAUUGCAUUUUACAUGGUUUGUUUCUAGUCUCAUUUGACAUGUCAAUAAGGUCAUACAGUAAUGCAUUUGUUGAUUUUUUAUUUUUUUUUCUCUAAAGAAUGCAACGUCUUCCACCUUCUGGGGGAAGAGGAAAGCUCCUCAAUAAUGAUCAAGAGCUUCCCAUUGUAGAAAUGGUUAUUGCAACUAAUGCAAUUAAACUGCAUGAAAUUAAAACUAGAAUUGUGGAGGACCAUGAGAUAUUUGCCAAUAUAGAAAGCAUCAGCCUCACAACCAUUACGCGGACAUUGUCCAAACACAGAGUGCGGAUGAAGCAGCUCUACACUGUUCCCUUUGACAGGAACAGUGAGAGAGUCAAGGAGCUACGACGACAAUGUGUCCAGGUAUAGUGUGUAUUCAAUUCAAUGUCCAGUUAUAUAAGCUUUGCACUUUGCACUUUAUUUUAUUUUAUUAUACUGUUUCUACUGUACCUUCUUUGGUAAACAGUUAAGAAAAAAUAACUGAUUUGCUUUUUACUGGAAUGCGUUUAAAUGUGAACAUUACUGUACAUGUGCACAUACAGUUCCAAACCAAUACAUUUAGUGUAAAUGGUGCAUUGCAUGUUACUUGAAACAUAAAAGUCUAUGCAAUUUUUAUAUUGUCAACAAUAGCCAGAAUUUUGAAACCUGGUGUACUUCGUUUGACUACAUGUACCUUGUGAAGUGAAAACAAAUGUUAUUCUUUGACAGAAUAAUUUCAUUUUGAGUCAAUGUGUCCAGUGUUUUGGUAAAGUUAGUGUGUGCAGAGAAAGAUGUGUUCUGUUUUGAAAUUAAGAGUUGGUAUAUAUUUAACAAAAUGUGUUUUUGAGAAGCAAAUUAUACAUUUGGCCAAUUGUGUCUUGUAGGUGUGAGUCUGUUAAGAAUUUAGAAAAGAAUUCUGAAGUAUGGGUAAGAGCUUGUUAGCGAUUGAAAAAAACUGUAAAGACUAAAGUGUUUUCUGGAACACGUCACGUCCUUUUCUGGACGAUCCUGUUGAUGAAGAAGUGCUUUUACUUCGCAGCGUGUUAAACACGUCAGGAGAGAAUAUUGAGGCCCGAUUAAAUAUAUGACAUGAUAUAAACAGAUGACUACUUGUUUGAACAGUAUCGUUUUUCUUCACAGUCCAUCAAAUAUGUACAUGACCUCACCCGUCCUCACAUAACGAACGUCCCCCAUCGUGGACGUGCUCUCAAAUCUAUAUAUAGAUACUUUUCAAUUCAUUACAAUCAUACAAUGUGUUUUAUUGACACUUUAUGGUACAUUUAUUAGCAAUUAUUGCUGACCACUUUUCCAUCUUGCUCCUCAUCUCGUUGACUGGCAGACGGUUGUCAUGGUAACGUAACAUCAGGUCCGGAGCUGAUUGAAGAGGUCAUGAAUCCUGCCGUGUAUUACAGUUUUUACCAACUGCUUACACACGUUUUUAAAACUUCAAAAUGCCAUAAACACAUUUCAAAAUAAAGCAUUUGCAUCAAAUGGCAAACACUUCUUUCAUAAUAAUACAUUUUGGGAUAUACCAUGUAAACACUGCUGUUCUAAAUCUAAAGCUCUUUGGUCUUUCAUAGGCUUAUAUCGCAUUGUAUACAAUGUUCUACAGUGAAAGUGGCGUGCUGAGAGGGGUAACAAGUACACCAGAAACCCCAAUCCGAUGUAGAAACAGAAAAUAAUUACGUAUUAGGCUAAACAUUACUGUUGUAUACAUUAGCAUACAACAAAACUAUAAACAUGUAAACUAAAAGUAUAUUCUUUACAGUAUAAUACAGUGAAUUGUGUGUGGGGUUCCGGUCCAGGGGGGCAGAGGGGGUGCAGUCCCCAGUGCUCCAUCUCUUCUCCGGGUCUGGCCACAACACUUCGGCCACAUCACAAGAUACGUUUUGUCUUGCCAAACAUGGAGGGAAGUAUCUCCUAGCAUAGCGUAUCCAACCUUGGACAGAGGCCACUUUUAUGUCCCCACAUGCGUCCUCCAUUGCCUGGGGAAGCGGCGUGCGGGCUUAGGGUUGGCGAUCAUACACUUUCCAGCGCCGGGCUGAGAAGAAUUCCUCUAUGGGAUUUAGAAAAGGUGAAUAUGGGGGUGGGUACAGAACUACACAUUGUGGAUGGGUGGCAAACCAGUUUUGAACCAGACCAGCCCGGUGAAAACUAACAUGGUCCCAUAUAACCACAAAUCUAGCAGGCAUCACAACAAGCAUUGUGUGAAUUUCAUCCAGAAAAGUGAGUAUGUGGCCGGUGUUGUAUGGACCCAGUGUGGCGUUGUGAUGGAGGACCCCAUUUUGAGUGAUGGCAGCAUACAUGGUUAUAUCACCCCCCCGCUGUCCCUAUUUACAGGCCCACUAAAGCAGUGAUUAGUUAGUGAUCAGUUAGGCAAUUAGUGUUUGCACAGUGAGGAGUGUGUCUGUGUGACCUGGUAAAUAAGUGUAGCAUUUUGAUUGGUUGUGUUUGGAAAAGGAAAGCAAGUCACUUCCUGAUAGAUCUUUGUCUUUUAGGUAGAGAAUUGUGUGUAGUGUGUUUUGAAAAAAGUGUUUUAUGCCAUUGAAAACUGAGUCAAAAGCUGAGAAAUAGCUUAUGGUUUUGAAGAUUUGGCAGGUAGCACUUUGAGUCGGAGGUUUCAAAAAUCGUGUGACAUGAAAAUAUUUUGUGUGUAAGCAGUUGGUAAGAACUGUAAAAGACGGAUUGGACAUCGACCAAUCGUCUCGGCCGACAUGCUUGGACAGCGGAGUCAUGAGGUGGGGAGGAAGAUGACGAGGAGGGGAUUGAUACGCCAGCGUGUCUCGUCGGCUGAGAGGCCGGUUUAGCCAGUGAACGAGCCAAACGGACCCAUUGUCAUGGUUACAGGCGUAAAUUAACGUUCCGCCCUAGUUGAUCCAUUCGGAUCUAAAAGUGAUGGAUGAGCCUGAUGGACUCUAUCACUUCUUCUCCUGGAGACCGGAUGGAGAACAUUUUAUGUCUCCCUUAGUGGAGAGGCGGGGGCUGUGGGCCGAGGACGGGGGAGGAUACUGAGUUAAAACGUAAAACAUGUUUCAAGUUGUUUGGUGUUGUUUUACCUUUUGGUUUUUCUAAGUUGUUUUAAUGUUGUUUCACGUUUUUCACGUUUUUUUCACGUUGUUCUGCGGUGUUUCAGGUAGGGGUGGAGGGCUGAAACAGCAGUAUCUUCACCCCCCUGUGUCGCCGUAAACUCGCCUUCCCGACCUCCUUUAGUUCUGGGUAAACUUCACCUCUUUCAUCUUCCUCCGUUAUCUUGCUAAGGAGCAGUCUGUUGGUUUAACGUACUGGGGCUUCUGGGUAAAUAGGAGCUGCACGUCUUUGACUUCUCUGUGUGUCUCGUCCAAACAGACAUCGGGUGACAUCAGGGGGGGUCACUCGUCUCACCUCUCUGAUUAUCAAAUUUACCAUCCAGGCUUUUCAUGUCAAACUUUUAAUUCCCAUUUCAAUGGUUUUAUUGAACAAAUAUUGAGUAGACUAUGUUGAUUUGGACGGUGAAUGAAGCCAUUAGCCAAUCAUUGUGACAUCAUUUCUUUAUGACUAGAACAGUGACCUCAUAGCUCUGUGUGAGGUCACUGUUACAUUACAGGUCAUUUAGCAGACGCUUUUAUCCAAAGCGACUUACAUUACACUUUAAACCCGUGGCUUUUUUCACAUUUUUGCCUGAGGAGCAAUUAGGGGUUAGGUGCCUUGCUCAGGGACACUUCGACAUGGAACAUGGGGCAGCCCGGACUCGAACCACUAACCUUGUGCUUCCCAGCACACCUUCUCUAACCCUUGCGAUUCUUAAAUAUUCAAAAGAGAUGAAUCUACAAUUGAGAGCCUCAGAGGCCGGUGGGACUUCAACAUUUUUCAACCCCCCCGAGCGGAAGAUAAGUGGCUUGGCUGAACGACAAGUUGCAAUUGACUCAAAAUCCUCUGUUGCAAUGCAGACAAAGGGGUCAUCUAUUACCUCCCCACGCCCCUGCGUCCCCCUCCUCGACCCGUCUUUGGCGGUCACCUGCUUAGGAGCUCUGGGGACAUGGAGGAGCCUUGCUCCACUUCUCCGGGGCCGGGGGCUAAUUGGUGGAUGCACCAGGGAGCCCUCCAGCCGCCAAGCCACCAGCCAAGGGGCCCAUCCGCAAGCAUGUGAUCUCUGCUGAGGGCCGGGGGAGGGAGAAGGGAGCCUGGUGGGAGGAGGAGGGAGAAGUGAUUCCUGAGAGAGGAGUGGGUGGCAGGAAAGGAGAGGAGGAACUUCUAAAGCGCUCUCAGAUGUGAAAAAAGAGACUUUUUCUCGAUUUUGAAAAGUCUUUAACAGCUUAAUGUGAGUUACCUGGAGCCCAGGUGUGAACGUAGCAAGGAGGCGUCGUGGAGGCUCUCAGAGCACUGCACUGUGGGUAAUGGACUCCUUUUGUGAGCCGUCAGUGUUCAUCAGCGCGGCCAAUCGAUGGUCGCCCCGACUCCAGGACGAAGGAGGAGUAAAGACUUCUCUUUUGAGUCUGGAGGGGUUCAGUCCAUCGCCGACGGCAACGCUCCCAGAGGGCCUCGUUCACAGGAACGAGAACGAUUGAAACCAUGAGAAAAAAGCUGGAAUAAAUCUUUAUAUAGUACUUCCUCUAUAUUUUACAGAACAGCUCCCUGAAUUUGUGAUUAUGGACUGAAAAUGUGUUUUAUAGGAAGAGGAUACAUAAUAAAUCCUGUAAAAGUAAUCAUGUGGGAUCAAACAAAAGAAGGGGAUUCUGCAGAAGGAAUGGAAAUAAGAUAUCCACGACAAUCCACAUAAAUACAUGAAUUGUUGGUAUUUUUGUAUGUUUACAGGGAGCUUCUCAGGAGAGGCGGAGCCUGCGACCUGGUGGUCGUCAUGGUGACAGACGAGGUAAAUGGAAGCCGUUGUUCAGCCGCAGGGUUCAACACCUCCAGUCCGUUUCCAGUCCUGGGGAGGCUGGUGGGCCUUUUGUCCUCCUCUUGUCGUGUGACGGGAGACGCAGGUCGGGAGGGGGAGGGAUGGGGGGCAGCUGCCAGGCGCUGUGACGCGCUCACAAAGCCUUUACUCUGCUAUCAGCUCCUUUUGUUGUUGGUUCUUUCCACCAUAUCUGAUGGACCGAGCUUAUCGCCGGGGAGGAACCCACCAGAACCAGGAGCGCUCCUUUUUAACACCAGGUCCCCGGAGGAACAGCGGUUUGAAUGUCACGUCCACGCCGUGAUGUCAGGAGAGAAGAUAAAGAUCUGAGUGGAUCAUCGCUCUGACACUAAAUUCAACAUUCAAUGCUUGCAUGCAGCUCACAAUCAUUAAAAAUAUACAUUCUGAUGUCGCUCAGGAUGAAAACAUAAUGCAAAGAUAAAGCCAACAUCAGGCAGUGCCGUGGUGGUUAACGGCGUUCUUUGUUGGGUCGGCAGAGUGAGGGGGUGGGGGGCAGAAGAACCAAGAAGAGAGAAAAAAAACAAGACAAAAAAAAGUUUGUCCGCGCUGUUUCUUUUGGGGAGUCGUGGGAAGACAAGCAGAUACAGUACAAGAUGUCACAUGUGAAGAACGGUAAUAAAAAGCGCUUUCAUCGUGAUCAUUUUGGGAGUCACUGUCUGAGGAGAGCAAGGUCAGAGGGCAAAAGCAAAAAGUGCCGAGCAGGCAGACGCAGUCUGAUGAGGAUGAGAGUCAGAGACACAUGUGGUCCUAUGGGACAUUCCGUUCUAUCCUGAAAUGAUUGUACUUUUUGUGUUUAUUAUCAUUGUAUAACUGUCACAGACAGAAGAUGCCAUCAGGACCACGUCAAACGAGUCCGACCGAGAAGCCAAACACAGGUCUCGCUUUGCUGUGGAAACAGCUGACAGUGCAGUGUAAGAGGUGCGCUUUAGAUCUCAGCCCGUUUUACACGUGUCAUCAUGAUGACAACAGAGAUUUGGGGAUUUGGGGAGGGGGUUGAUUGACAGAUGCCUCGUUAGAAUGAGCAGAUUGAACCACUGCUUGGGUUUAGGGGGGCUCAGACUUCUCAUCAUGCUCUGCUAACAUGUGAUCCUUCUGCACAUCCCGGCCUUCAACAUCUCACAAAAUAUCUGUUUGUGUUACUUUUAAUUCUGGAAAGAUACAAAUCAGGUUUUGGGAUUAGUUUUUGUGUCAGUCUGUAAAACCAGAGGCCUCAAUGCUUUGAGUGGGGACAGAAGGCUCGGCCCUCUGAUUGGCUGUUAGAUCCCCUUCAUCAGGUCACGACUUAAUCUAUAUUCUGUUUGAAAUCCAGAGUGAAACUCAACAGCAGCUGAAAGUCUUCCUGCUACAUUUACCUUCAAGCUUCUUCUUCUUUAAAAAAAAACAAAAACAAAUUCUUGCGUUGUUUGCCUGCACGUCUGUGAGCUCGGGUUCUUCUUCUCAUAUGAAUCGAUUAGUGGAGCGCAAAAGAAUACAUCUAUUGUCUGUAAAAAUCUCUGUGGAAAUCACUUCACAAAAGAUUUGAGGUGAAUUUAUUUAAGUUCUCUGACAUUUAGUUAAGAAAACAAUAAGUUGAUCAUUGAAGGGAACAAUUUGCAAUAAACAUGGCGAUAAUUCUGAGGCGAAGCGUCCGUUUGUGACAUGUGAGAGAAAAGGUCCUUAGGGAGUCCUGCUCCAUGGAUCCGGUUACUCACUGCAUGACUUACAUCAGUGGCGAAGUCAAAUACGCCAACUGAGACUGGGUGACAUCUCUUAUUACAAAGUUACCUGAUCUUUUUCAUUCAUGACCAAAAUGAACUAAAGCAGAGAGGAAGAUGUCGGGUCGAUAAUAAAAAUAAUAAAGACGACCCGUCCGGCGGUCUGUUGGGUGGAGGUCAUGUGUUGGUCCAACCCACACAGACCGGCUGGGAGUGAGUCAACAUUUAAUUGCAGUAGAAGACUUGUGGUGCAGUAAAAGUAAAAGUUUCAUUCUGAACAAAACAGAUGCUUAUCAGAGAUAUUUUAAGAGCAGAUUUAAAAUCUACCAGGUGACUAAAAUAUUUGUCUGCCGUUUCCACCUCUUGUCUUGACAGCAACAUUUUGAUGAUAUCGCUUGUGUUUCCCUGUGACAUGUUUGUCGACCCGUCCUUCCUGCCUCUCUUUGACUCCUGAGUGUCUCAGCCGAUGUGGCCGUGUUCACAUCAGAGUCACAUGGUUUAUUACAUGUGGUCCUUCACACACUAACAGCAUCACAAUGACGGCACAUUCUGCCGUUCCCCAAUGGGACAAGACAACAUUUUUCUACAUGAAUACACUUUUUGCAUAUUUUAAAAAGAACAUCCAUUCGUCCGUCCUCAGAAUAAUUCUAUCUAUGUUCUCACACUGAUCUGAAUAUUCCGCUUUCACAAAAUGAAAAAGUCGGCAGAAGACACGCUUGCCCACUUUGCUGUUAAUUGGUUUCUCAGCGAGCCGGUGACAGCCUGUGGGGGGGGGGCACAGACAUACACGGCUUUCCAUGCCGAACACGGAUGUCUAUCCGAGUGAUGGAGUCAUAUUAGUGGGUAAUACAGAAGUUCCAGUGGAGACUGUCGUUGGUUCGAUGGAAUUCUGUAUGUGAGGCGUGAGAUGCAGCAGGAAACAAAGAAGAAGAGAAACAUGAGAAUUCAUCGUUGGUUUUUACAGCAUAAGGAAAGGAAGUAAAUGUUCUUUAAGCAGCUCCACGUCCAGUGAGGACAAAGUGUUACACAUUAAAAGGUGAGAUUCUCUUUGGGGAAACAUGGACACGAGGAAAUAUCGCCAUAAUAAUCAUAAUGAGGAAGAGUGCCGAUCACAAUAUAUAAAGAAUAGGAUGAUUGCAGAGGGAGGCUGCAGCCCCCUGUGAGAUCUUUGUCCUUCAGCUCGAACUGAUCUGAUGUGUGCAUCCAGCCAUGGAAGGAUUUCAUCCUUUACAACUUCUCCUUUUUCCAAAUGAACAAACAGCGCCCUCGUCUCCAGCCACAUCCUGCAUGGUCUCACAGCUACGUUUCCAUGGCAACAGUGUCCAACUGGGUACAUGCCACAAAAAACAGAGCGGGAGAGAGAGAAAGUUUCUCGCUGGAAGAGCAAACCUGGCCAGGCUUUGACUGGCAUCAUAUGCUAUUGACUGAGAACUUGAGCUCUCUUCUAACGUUGGCUUGCAGCAACGUUCCCAUGGCAACCGCAUCCCGGGGUUCACUGGCCCCCGCUCUGUUUACCCCGCACUAAUGGCAAUAAUCAAUACACAUGAUGCAACUCUGCCAUUAGUCCUCACAGAGAGAGAGACUGGUCCUCUCUCUCUCUGUGUCAUUAGCUCUGAGUGGAUAAGCAAUGCAGGUGAGCAGAGGGAGAGUCAGUGUGUUGCGUGAUGCCGUGUUCACUCCAUUUGUAACGUAAUGUCAUUUUUUACAUCCUGUAACAGGAUAACAUAAAAGGUCUAUGCACAGACGAGAGUGACGCAAAUGUGCGAUAACGCUGCGCGUUGAUGUGAAGUCUGGUCGGCGAUUCAAGCCAACAUGCUAUCAGCGGCUAGCAUCAUGUACCGCUGGAAGUGGCAGGACGCACUUCCUGUAGAAGCUCAGUAUUUAGCUACGGGUGCUCUGGUCUCUGGAACCCUUCGUCUCGUCUAAUCUUCUGUUUGUGCAAACAUUACACAAAGGACACAAAGUUGCCCCUGGAUUUGUCUCUACCUUUUUCUGCUACCAUUCGCCCCCCUGUUAGCACCGUGUUAGCUGACUGUUAGCAUUCUGUAAGCUCUCUGUCCGCUCUCUCUUAAAACAACUUUUAUUAUUCCGUGUUUUGUAUGGGAUCAGUCUCAAUAUUUGUAAAUCCUUCUGUGUGCAGUUGUACAUCAAAUACAUUGUGAAUUGUUCUGUGCACAUUUGUGAGUCGUUCUGUGUGCAUUUGCAAUUAUUGCGACUGAUCUGACCCCAUAGUUUUGUGGUAUUUCUAAAAGUCUUCAGCCUCUUUAAGCAAUUUCUCCAUGUUUCUUUUACUCGUGAGGAUCGGGAGAAAAAAAGUGAGAAAGCACUUCUACAUUCUAAGGCGCGAUAGCUGAGGACUGUUGGAAAAAAGUUGCUGCCCUGAAUGUAAAUUUAAGAAAUUGCAAACGGCAGUGUUUUUUUUUUUCAUAGCGGACAAUGUGAGGAUGCUUUGAAGCUGGUGUGUUGAUUCCCGCAUCAGCACGCUGGCUUUAAUCUUCCACAUUUGUUGUUCCUUUAAUCUCGGUUCUGUUGUUUGCUCCUAUUUUGCGCACAAGGAUCAUCGCGGCUCCGGCUUAUUUCUCUCACUGCUCCGGAGUGCUGCUCCCCAUCGGCGAGUCCGACUCCGCACGCCACCGGCCAAACCCACGCAGCCAGGAGGCGUUGGGCCGAGGUGCGAUGGUUAAACCGGAGCAUCUCUGGCUCGCCGCACACACACACGCAUCAUUUCCACCCGUCUCCACUCUGGCUGCUUUUCUUCUGCCGGUUUAAUGCUGCCUCGGGCUCAGCGGCUCUUGGCCGCGUUCCUCUCCUGUUUGAGUCUGCCACAAGAGAGGCCUCCUUAAAGGAGGAGGAAUAAAAAGAUGUCUUUAGAGCGCUUGGAGUCUGUGAUGAGCUGAUUACCGCUCAGAGGAUGCGACUCGUCCUUCUGAUCCAACCCGCCAUGAAGCAACGCCGACACAUCUCACAAAGGCUUGCUCCGACGGAAAGAGAAAAGAUUCAACAACUGCCAGUUUUUGCAUUUGAAAAUUGGCUCCGAUAUUUGCUGCUUCCAGAGGUAACUAUGUAGACUUUGGUGACCCCUUGACCGCUCCUCUGGCAUUCUGAUGGAAUCUUAAUUCCACUGGUUUGGUAAAAGAUAUUCAUGAUACAUCCAUAAGGAAUAUCUCUGUGUUCAUAGUCCCAGGAGGAUGAGUUCUAAUUAUUUGAGUGAUCCUGUGAUCUUCAUUCCUCUGUAAGCAUCAUCCCACAGACAAUCUACAUCUAUGGCAGUGGAAACCAGGGCUGGGCGGUACACCGGUCCAAUACUUCCAAUACCGUUCAUACCCGUGUUACGCCAUAACAACUGACGUUGCUCAGAAUAUAUUCCUACACGACAUCGCUGAGUGUUCAGCGGUCAAACCUACUGGCCUUACGUGUGUUGAGAUAGAGUCAUGGUUAUAACUUUAUGACAACAAUGAAUAACGCACAACAAAGACUCCUUAACAGGGUAAAACACCACGACACAACAGCUUGUGACACAAAACCAUUUGUAACACGAGUUCAGGUUGCCGCGGCCCUUUUUCGGGCUCAAUGAAUUAAUGUCUUUAAAAAGCAAUGCCGUCACAUACCGGGAUACCGUCAGAAUCUUUUUAUUUUUGUCCAUACCGUCCAGCCGUAGGCGAAGCUGUACAAGCGAUGAAAAAAUAAAAUGAUUAUAAAGAGAUUCAGCAGGGUGAGCAUCAGAGGGGCAGCAUUUGAACAACUUAUAUGUAUAUGUCUCUCUCUCUCUCUCUCUCUCUCUCUCUCUCUCUCUCUCUCUAUAUAUAUAUAUAUAUAUAUAUAUAUAUAUAUAUAUAUAUAUAUAUAUAUAUACACGUACGUUACUCACACAUACGUAUAUGGACUACUUGGUGAAAGUCUGGUAUUUGUUGACCAGCUCGUCUCGAUUCUCUUACUGUGGAUCCUACAGCGGCCCUGGAUACCUAUGAACUGAUCCUGUGGGCUGUGAAUGAAUGAGAGUUCAUUCCUUUUAAUAAAUAUUACAUUACAUCACAUGUCAUUUGGCUGACGCUUUUGUCCAAAGCGACUUACAAUGAGUGCAUUCAACCAUAAGGACACAAACCCAGAAGAACAAGAAAGUGAAAUUUCCUCAAAUAAGCCGAUGUACAACUCGCUGUAGAUAAGAACCAUUAUAAGUCCAAUGUAAGUGCUCCAGUUAGUUAGUGUGUUAGUGGAGGUAGAGUCUGAAGAGGUGUGUCUUUAGUCUGAAGAUGUGAAGGCUCUCUGUGGUCCUGAUGUCUUCAGAGACCUCCUUCCACCAUUUAGGAGCAGGACAGCAAAGAGUGGAGAUCUAGUGGAGUGUUUUGCUCUCAGUGAGGAGGAACAAGCAGUUUAUCAGAUGCAGAGCGGAGAGUGCGGGUCGGGGUGUCGGGUUGGACCAGGUCCUGGAUGUAAGCUGGACCCCAAUCCAUUCACAGCAUGGUACGUGAGCACCAUGUUUAGAACUGGAUGAGCCACUGGUACCAGUGAAGAGAGCGGAGGAGUGGAGGAGUGAGGGAGAACUUAGGAAGGUUAAAGACCAGUGGAGCUGCUGCAUUCUGGAUGAGCUGCAGAGGUGGUGCCUUCUGAGUGAGAAGAGGACGUGUUCUCCUGAUGUUGUAGAGCGUGUAUCUACAGGAUGGUGUUGUCGCAGUGAUAUUGGGAGUCAGGGAGAGUCGGCUGUGUCACGCCGAGGUUCCUGCAGUUAAAGUGAGUUGCCAAAGUUAACCGUAAAGUCCUGGAUGGGAGAAUCUUUUCCCGGAAAGAGAAGUAGUUCAGUCUGUCGGGGUUGAUUUUCAGAUGGUGGGCGGAUCCACUGAGAGAUGUCAGUCAGACAGGCAGAGAUUCGAGGAAGGGAAGGAGAGAAUUAGUUGGGUGUCAUCAGCAUAGCUGUGGGAGGAGAAGCCAUGCGAGCGAAUGACAGCGCCGAGAGAGUUGGUGUAAAGCGAGAACAGGAGGGGACCCAGGACGGAACCCUGAGGAACUCCCGUAGUAAGAGGACAAGGUUCCGACACAGAUCCUCGUCAGGUUACCCGGUAGGUCCGGCCGUCGAGGUAGGACGAGAGAAGGGAGAGAGCAGAGCCUGAGACACCAAGUUCCUGAAGGGAGGAAAUAAGGAUCUGGUGGUUGACUCUGUCAAAUGCAGCAGAGACGUCCAGAAGGACGAGGACAGAGGAGAGAGAGGAGCUCUAGCAGUGUGGAGUUGCUCUGAGACAGCAAGGAGAGCAGUCUCUGUGGAACGGCCUUGAAGCCUGACUGGUGGGGGUCAAGGAGGUUGUUACAGUGGAGAUCGGAGGAGAGUUGAUUAAAGAUCGCAUGUUCAAGAGUUUUGGACAGAAAGGGAAGAAGAGAGACCGGUCUGUAAUUGUUUUCUUCAGAAGGGUUGAGGGUGGGUUUCUUCAGGAGAGGGUUGACUCUUGCCUCCUUCAGAGAAUUGGGAAAACAGCCAGAUAACAGAGCAUUGUUGAUGAGACAGGUGAGGAACGGAAGAAGAUCAGGUGCAAUAGAUUGUAGAAGAUGCGAUGGAAUGGGUUCAAGAGGGCAGGUGGUCGGACGGGCAGAGGUUACUAGGGUAAGAAUUUGGUUAGGAGACAGGGGGGUGAAGGAGGAAAGUGAGGGCAAUAGAGGUGAAGCCAGUGGGAUGCAAGAAGUAGGAGGUGGGUUUGAGAAAGAGGAGCGUAUGUCAGCUAUUUUCUUGGUAAAGUAGUUGACAAAGUUACCCGGAAGAAGCGGGAGGGGGGAGAAGCACUAGGGGGUUCGAGGAGGUUGGAGAAGAUCGAAAAGAGUUAGAAAAUGAAGAUUUGACUCUGGAUUGGUAGAAAGAGCUUUUGGGAGCAGAGAUAGAAGCAGAAAAAGAGGAGAGAUUGAAAUUCCAGAAGGUCGUCAGGUCGUUUAUAUUUACGCCAUCUCCUUUCCGAUGCUCGCAUGGUGGCUCUCAUGGCACCGGUUGAGACAGCCACGGAGCCGGAGGGGAUUUGCCAGUAAAUCAUAGAGAAAAAGACAUAAGUAGACUGAGAAAAGAGAGAAGGAACAGCGAGUUAAUGAAACGUUCAAACGUGUCUUCAUUACGUCAAGGCAACUUGCUCCGUUUGGACGAAGGCAGAAUCGACAUCAGAGAACCCGACUCCCCGUUCACGCCCCAGAGCUCCGCCCACUUUGACUCUGACUGACAGCUGGUUGGUCGAGCUGCCCUCAGGCUCCAAUCCCAUCCCCCCCUUUACGGACUCACGGACUAUGAGGAGCACUCAUACUCAUGACCUGCUGAGGGCUCGGUUCCAUCCCAUGGCAACACACACAUCAGCCACAACACAUCGCAAUGUGAAUACGCAGUGAAAGCAUUGAGGCGAUGAGUGAAAUGUCAAAAGGCUUCUGUAGGAAAUUUAAGAGGUUCUUUUGGUCUGCAGAGUUUAGCUUCAUCUCAGGAAGGUUCACUAUGGAGCCAAUACCAGGCCAAAAGUUUUGAUCAUUUGAAAAACAAAUGUGAACUUGUUCUUGAAAGCUUCGUUUGUUCAGUUGUCACUCAUGAUGACACGCCCCUCUCAGUUGAUGCCCCGCCCCCUACGCCGGAUCAGGGCCAAAAGUCUGAAUGUGAGAAAAGAUAAAAAAGUGAAUGUAAGAUUUGAAGCUGAAUAGAUAAAAUCUGCAACCGAACUGAGUCAAAACUAUAUUAAACCCCAAAAUACUUUUUGUCCACUCAUUUUCAUUUUUAAUACAUUGUUGUAUUUUUCAAUGUGAAGGACUGAAUGAAUAAUGUGAUUUGUAUUGUCUUUAAAAAUAUAUCUGAGAGUUGGAUCAAAUAUGUUCAUACCAACUUCUCUUAUGUCGAAAGCUCAUUUCACUGUUGAAAGUAACUAAAGCGACAUAAGACAUAGGAAUUGACCUUUGAGGUAGUUAGUUAUGGUUAUGGUUAAAGUUUCAAAGCCCACAUUAUGCCGGUAUCUAGUGUUUCCCUCUCACUCAGCAGUCGGUUACGUGGAGUUUUUUUUCUGCCUGAAAGACCCAGAAAAGCAGAAAAAAGCGAAAAUAUGGCAAUUAAAUAUUCUCGGAGGGGUGUUGUGACCUCUCUGCUUUGCUCUUCCUGCAGCGUUUCUUCACUUCGGCGGCUCUCGGACUUUCAAACUGUUUUUAAUAAGACAACCACUUCCCCCUUAUCCCAGAUAAAGCCCCUCAGUCUGGAGCCCCCGGAUCUGAAAAGAGCCUCCCACUUAAAUCUGCAGAUCAACUCAAACAGCGACAUGAGAACGUUUGAUCACAUCUGGUGCAACACUGUUCACAGAGCACAGUCCCAUCAAAAGAACUUAAAAAGACUGAAGAGGAUUCACCGCGGUCUGAACACGGACCCAAGAAGCUACUUCUGUCAAACCAAUGCACCACAUUCUAAACUAAGUUCCUCUACAGGAGGCCGCCUGAUGCUGCAUGAAGCAGAGAGGCGUACGACGCUGCAUCCGUCUCCCCUUGAUGCUGCGCUGCAGAUCUUUACAGGUAUCAUCGGUUUCCUUUAUCAGAACAGAAAGACUCUGUUCCCUGGUUGAACGGUGUGGAGAGGCAAUUACUUCCUAUAUGCUUCUAUAGAAAACGACAAUCAGUGUUUUCUUAUGUGACAAAGACACAGAAAAAAAGCACUUACUGUUUGAUGAUAUUCACUUUUGAAAUGUCGUUCCUGCUUCGUCUGUACAGUGAAGGAAAUAAUAAUUUGUCUUCAGGUGAUCUUCAAUUUCCAAAGAAAUGCAAAAUAGAAAUGAACACAGACAUCUUGACACUGGGAAAAAAUAAAUAUGUAAAACAAACUUUCAUCUGAAUUAGUACUUUUGUUUUGUGACGGCUGAAAUGUGUGUCACAUAAAGAUUAAAUUGUGUUUGUGUAAAGGCAAGACGGAACAUAUCCGGGCCUGAAACGAUGGAUGUUAGAGUUGACAUUACGUUGAAGACAAACCUCAAACGUUGCAGUGAUUUUUCACUUAUUAAGGGAAAAUAGAGCCGUCUUUAAAUGCCUUUGAAUGUCUUUGAAGACCCUUUUCGGCAACUCGCUCUGAGAAGUCCGUUGUCACAAUGUCAGCUCCUGUUUCAUGGAUAUGAAACAUUUCUCCCAAAAAUGAUUUAAUCCGUUAUUACGACAUUUUUGUUUUCAAGAUAUAUUUCAGCAAUGUACACCGUGUGGGGAAUUUAGAACCCAAUUUAGAUGUGAGUGAAUGGUUGAGACCAUCUAAAGAAACAUUAUCACGUAAUAAUUGCUGAAUAUCUCAGUACCUUGACUGACUCAAUUAAAGUGCCUGUGAUUAUAUUUGUAACAUUGGUAUUACAUUACAUUACAUGUCAUUUAGCUGACGCUUUUAUACAAAGCGACUUACAAUAAGAACAUUUCAACCAUAAGGAUACAAACAAGAAAGUGCAAUUUCCUCAAAUAAGCCAAUUUACAACUCGCUGUAGAUAAGAACCAUUAUAAGUCCAAUGUAAGUGCUCCAGUUAGUUAGUGUGUUAGUGGAGGUAGAGUCUGAAGAGGUGUGUCUUUAGUCUGAAGGUGUGAAGGCUCUCUGUGGUCCUGAUGUCUUCAGAGACCUCCUUCCACCAUUUAGGAGCAGGACAGCAGAGAGUGGAGAUCUAGUCGAGUGUUUUGCUCUCAGUGAGGAGGAACAAGCAGUUUAUCACAUGCAGAGCGGAGAGUGCGGGUCGGGAUGUCGGGUUGGACCAGGUCCUGGAUGUAAGCUGGACCCCAUCCAUUCACAGCACGGUACCUGAGCACCAUGUUUAGAACUGGAUGAGCCACCGGUACCAGUGAAGAGAGCAGAGGAGUGGAGGAGUGAGGGAGAACUUAGGAAGCUUAAAGACCAGUGGAGCUGCUGCAUUCUGGAUGAGCUGCAGAGGUGGAAUGGUGGUAGCAGGAGACCUGCAGGAGAGAGUCACAGUAGUCCAGGAGGGAGAAGAGCCUGAAUCAGUACCCGGGCAGCCUUCUGAGUGAGAAGAGGACGUGUUCUCCUGUUGUUGUAGAGCGUGUAUCUGCAGGAUCGUGUUGUCAGUGAUGUUGGGAGUCAGGGAUGUUAUAAUGCGGUGCUUAAUCAUAAACACGAGGACACUCUUCCAGGUCUCACCUCACUGGGUUGUAAACUUUAAUACAUUUUCACGUCGCGUGUACGGUCCAUCUUGCUCGGUCUGGUUACAAGGCAGUGUUUCACAAUAACAGUCCGUGUGACUCACGGAACUAAACAAUAGUUCCUACUUAUAGUUCCUAUUGUUACAAGGGAGAGUCGGCUGUCAAGUGUCACACCGAGGUUCCCAUCACGGAACAAUGUAUAAUUAUGUUCAUUAACUCAUUAACAUCAUGUUAAAUAAAGGCUACACAAAGGUCAAGUGUAGGACUUGGAGUCUCCGUACUGCCUGAAGAUGGUUUUGUCUUCUUUGUCUUUCAUAAUCCUUGUUACGUUUCCACCUCAGUUGGAGCUCAAUGGAGGUGGGGAACGUAAACGCCUGUGCUUACGCACCCAGUGUAACCAGCGGUGGACGGUGAAGUAGUGUGGGGUGCAGCUGACCAAAAAUAAAGAGGCAUGACACCCGAAACUCACUUUUGGUUCUUGUGGGACAUUUAGUAAAACAAAAAGACAAAACACAAGAAAGUACACACACAACCCAGGAAGGGAGGAAAAGGGUGUCAUGCCUCUUCAUUUUUGGUCAGCUGCACCAUUUUCUGAGGCAUUUCUUGCGUUCGUAAUUACGCACACGUCGCCUGGGUAGCAUGCUUGACUUAAUUAACUCUGUGCUUGCUCCUAUGUGGACUGGAGAAGAAGUCCCGUGUUCUACAUUUGUGAUCCCAGGAAGUUCAGAGAAGGCUGCUGGUGAGAUAGAAAAGACAAUGGUCUCCUCUGGUGACGGUUGAAGAGUGCUAUUGACUAGGCGUAUCGAAGCUAAUAGCUUCUCCCUAGCCAAGGAUCUGAGUUUAGCUAAAUGUUUUGCCUCGGUUGUGAAGUUGGAGAAAACCACUAAGACAGAUGUGAAAUAUUACAUUGAGGACGGUCUACUAAUGAGAAUAUGGACUCCCAGUAUGGACCCAGGGAAGGAUUGGAGUUCGGUUUUGCAGAUUGUAGUUCCAGCCUUGUUUCGGACAAAUGUAAUGUCUUUAGCUCAUGAUAUUCCCUGGUCUGGUCAUUUAGGGGUGACUAAAACGUAUAAUCGGCUCCUCCGUCAUUUCUUUUGGCCGGGAAUGAAACAGGAUGUUGCUUGUUUCUGCCGUACAUGUAGUACGUGCCAAGUGGUAGAGAAGCCUAACCAGGUAGUUUCCCCCGGCUCCUCUAUGUCCGAUUCCGGUGAUGGGAGAGCAGUUUGAGAAGGUGUUAAUUGAUUGUGUUGGUCCCUUACCACGGACUAAGUCCGUAAAUCAAUUCAUGCUUACAAUAAUGUGUACUGCUACUAGGUACCCUGAAGCAAUUCCUAUGCGUACAGUCACCAGUAAGGCAGUGGUGAAAGACGUGAUUAAGUAUUUCUCUACUUUCGGGUUCCCCAAAAACCAUAUAAACGGAUCAAGGAACAAAUUUUACAUCUAAAUUGUUUGAGGGAGUGUUGAAGACCUUGUCGGUGACCCAUCAGUUGUCUAGUGCUUGCCACUCGGAGAGUCAGGGUGCGCUGGAACGUUGGCAUCAGACCCUAAAGGCCAUGUUAAGUAAAUACUGCAAGGACACGGAGAAGGAUUGGGAUGAAGGGAUUCCAUAUGUGCUGUUUGCUAUUCGGGAGACUGUGCAAGAGUCUCUUGGGUUUAGCCCCGCUGAGCUAGUCUUUGGUUACACGGUGAGAGGCCCUCUAAAGAUACUGAAAGAACAAAGUAUGGCUAGGGAUACAACGGGGUCUUCUACUAACAUUCUGGACUAUGUAAGUCAAGUCCGAGAAACGUCACAUUGACAUGAUUAAAGCAUAUCAGGUUAGAGAUGGUUCCAAAUCUGUUACAAGUACAAUUCCGGUGGUUGCCUCUGUUGUCGCUGUUAACCUGGUUACCCAACCUGGAGUCUGGGUAACUGAUGAGGACAGUUUGGUGAUGCAAAAUACUCCAGAGCAGUGUGCUCGUUUGGGUAAUUCUGAGAUGUUGGCAUCUCUUCCCUCACAUUUGGCGGAUUUGAGUGAUCAGCAGAGUCCUGAUAUAAAGUUACUAAUUUCUGAGUCUUAUUAAUGUGUUGAAACACGAUAUAAAGGUAAGCGAUGAUGCGCCAAUCAAACAAACGUAUCGUGUUAAUUUAAGUCAGAGAUCAGUAAUGAACGCCGAGGUAAAUUAUUUAAUAAAAAAUGGAAUGGCAGUCCCCAGUAGCAGUCCCUGAUUGCUGAUUCCAAAGCCAGACGGGACACACAUGUUUUGCACGGACUACCGUAAUGUGAAUAAGGUUACGAUCCCUGACUCAUUUCCUUUACCUCCCAUGGAUGUUUGUAUCGACACCAUUGGAUCAGCUGCUCAUGUCACUAACUUGAUUUGUUAAAAGCAGAGGUGUCAAAAGUAUUCACAUUCAUUACUCAAGUAGAAGUACAGAUACUAGGGUUUAAAAAGACUCCUGUAGAAGUUGAAGUAAGUUGAGUACCAACUCAAGCUUUUUACUUAAGUAAAAGUAUAAAAGUACUGGUUUCAAAACUACUUAAAGUAUAAAAGUAAAAGUAAUGUAAGAAAUUCCAUUAAGGACAAACUCUUAAUGCGUAACCUCGCUCACACAACACGUCAGUCCGUUACAAUAUGAUCAGAAGGUGCCUGCAGAUCACGUGACCUGCCGUUGAGAUGAUGGAAACAUGGCGACAUUCAGAGACACAACAAAACAACACGUGUAUCUGACUUAAACAGAUAAAACCACAACCCAUUUUCCAGUGACACGAGUCACACACGUUGUUCGCAUUGAUUAGGUAGACUGCAAUGUUUCCCCCAGGUUUACUACGUCAUGGGGGGGUGGGGGGCGCACCCCUGUUUAUAAUGAUGGAAACACUGAACUGGCAGCGGUCGGUUAUCAAAACAUUGGCCAAAUAACCAGAAUGUUCAGGCUUUAUGAGAAAAUACAGAAUCCCUUUGUGUUCAUUUGCAAAGCCACGUUAAGACACACAUCACUUUAUUUAAUACGCUGCACUACUUGCAAGUCGCUGUGUUGUGCCAGACUCUCAAUAAAACAUUUAGGACAAACCCACAGUCAUGAAGAUACUCAUUUAACGUUACAUGGAAUCUGCAUGAGGAAGAGGAGGAGGAAGAGGAGCAGGGUCCAUGUCGCUAAAUACCAACUUUCCACCGACCACUUUUCUCACCCGGUGUCGCUCCGAUCUGCUGGCGCAUCGCGGAGAAAACCAAUCGGGUGUCUGGAUGCUAAAUGUUUAUACUUCUCAUCCUAACAAAAUCAAAUGCACUCUGUCCGGAUAGCGUGAUUAAUCUGAAUAGGUUGUUUUUGUGUUUGUGUUUUUGAACUACGACAAGCCGGAAGUAACGAGACUGUCUUUAAAAUGUAAGGAGUAGAAAGUACAGAUAUUUGCGUGAAAAUGUAAGGAGUAGAAGUAAAAAGUUGUCUGAAAAAUAAAUACUCCAGUAAAGUAUAGAUACCCAAAAUUUCUACUUAAGUACAGUAACAAAGUAUUUGUACUUUGUGACCUGACACCUCUGGUUAAAAGGGUAUUGGCAGGUACCUUGAACCCCUCGGGCCUCUGAGGUGUCGGCUUUUGUAACCCUGGACAGUUUCUGCCAGUACACGGUGAUGGCGUUUGGAAUGAGGAACGCCCCAGCCACGUUUCAACGGUUGGUAAAUAUCGUAUUGUCGGAUAUUCCUGAUUGUACAGCAUACCUGGACAACCUAGUGAUUCAUUCGACUACCUGGCCUGAUCACGUAGGCACGUUGAGGGCUGUGUUUGCACGCUUGGCCAGUGCAUCGUUAACCCUCCACUUGGCCAAAUGUGAAUUUGGAAAAGCAACUGUAACGUAUUUGGGUAAGGAGGUGGGAAGAGGUCGGGUUCGCACCGUAACUGCCAAAAUAGCCGGUUUCCUGCCCCUGCUACUCUGCGUGAAUUGCGCAGGUUGUUGGGCAUGACUGGGUAUUAUCGAACCUUUUGCAAGAAUUUCUCCUGUCGUAGCCCCACUGACCCAAUUACUCAGUCCUUCUGUAUCAUUUAAGUGGACUGAUGAGUGUCAGUCUGCUUCUGAGUCUGUGAUAGACCUAUUAUGCACUUCUCCGGUUCUUUCUGCCCCUGAUUUUGAAAACCAUUUAAGUUAGAGGUGGGUGUGGGUGCUGUACUGUUGCAGGAACAUGAUGGAGUAGAUCACCCAGUUUGUUACUACUCAAAAAAAUUCAACAGUUGCCAGUCCCGUUACUCUACCAUAGAACAGGAGACUCUGGCGCUGUUGUUUGCAUUACAGUUUUUUGCAAACUUGUUUUUGUCAAGUUUAUGUUGGCUCGAGUGUAUUGCCUGUUGUGGUAUAUACUGACCACAAUCCUUUAGUUUUUUUGGGCCGCAUGUACAACCACAACCAACGUCUCAUGCGUUGGCCGUUGGUUAUAGAAAGUUAUAAUUUAGAGAUAUGACACAUAAAGGGGUCAGAAAAUGUGGUUGCUGAUGCUCUGUCUCGUUUUUAAAUGGAAAGGCCUGUGAUCUUUUUGUGUUCGAUUACUUCUCUAACUUUUGUUGGGACCACUGUAAAAGUUACUUACAGACCAUGUCGUAAUCCCACGACAUGUCCCAUGUUUUGUUCUGUGCCUUUAACUGUGCCCCUUUCUCGGUUCACAGGUGUGCGGUGCUGGGUGGCUGUUGGCGAGGAGGCGUGGCCGGUGAAGACCUGGGGAGUAAUCGGCUAACGAGCUGAUUGCCUGUAGAAACCAGCCUGGUUGCUGCAGAGGAAAAAGAGAAAGGAGGGAGAGGCCUUGUGUUUUGUAUGGCCUGUCAAAGACGUUUUGUGUUGAAUCCUGCCGGGUGAGAUCCCGUUGUGCUCUACCGGAGUUCUGGAGAAGGUGCAGGUAGUUCUGCCCAUGUGUGUACAUUUGCAUCACGUAGGUAAAUCUUUGUUACACACACUGUGUUAGCUGGGCGGGGGUCACCCCUGUAGUUUUGGCCAUAGAGAGGUAAGCUGGUUAGGGAUAGACUGUGUUAGGCAGACUGUGUAGAAGAAAAGGGACCUUUUGUUUAUUUCAUUACUUCUCCCCCCUUCCUUGGUUGUGUGUGUACGUCGGCUGCUGGUUACACUGGGUGCGCAAGCACAGGCGUUUAAUUUCCCACCUCCAACGAACGUAACAAUCCUCCACUCGAGAAAUUCGUGUGAGGCCUUAAAGCUUUGUCACUUUUAGUGAUGGACGUUCGGAUCAUUUUACUGACUCUGUUCUUUCAAUCUCUAUCAGUAAAAUUGUUGCGUCCCCCACCUCUGGUGUUUGUUGCUACACGUGUUUGGGUGCAGGCUGUGUCCUGAUUACAGAUGAGCCGCACCUGAGCAGAACCUGUGUUGGCGCUACAAAGGCUUCCUGGACCGUUCUCGGGGGGGUGGGGGGGGCACACAGAUCCCUCAGAGUGCACAACGGUGCUGCUGCUGCCAAGAUCGCCGUCCACCCGGCAGUGAAAAUGUUCCGCAUUUGUAUUAUUUAGUUUGUUAAGAUACCAUUUAAUAUCCAUUUUGUUAAAUAAAAUACCCCUAGAUUAUUUUGAUACACGUAACAAAACAGAACAUCUUUUUUCCAUUCAUUCAUUUCAACGGGGGGGGGGGGGGGGGGGCUAAAUGCGUCCACUGCCAACACGUAGCAUAUUCUCAUGUAGGUUAGUGCAUGUAAACCAGUAGAUACUAAUUCAUAAGGAAAUUCUUGCAUUAAAAUAAUGUAUCAUGACAGUUUGGAUGAUUUGAACCGCUCAUUUAUUAUCACACUUUCUUCUGACUAUCAGUCUAUAACCAUCCCGAUGCGCCGCCACGAGAAAAUGAACAAAUUUUGUUCUGAAAGACUCGUUACUCCGAGUCCUUCAGAACGGACGAUGUCACUUUAUCUGAUGUCUUAUUGAAGAAAAGAACCAGUCACAUGUCUUCACCACACUUUCCACCUUCAUCCUUGCGCAACGUUCAGGUGGCGUGUGUGUGUGUCCUGGUUUUCUCUCAGCGGCGUCAAGCUCUCUGUUGCACUCCGACCCCUAAAGGACCCUACCAACCCCCCGGUGACCUCUGACCAUGUUGUGUUCCUGUUCUACAUUGAACAGUCCCGCCGCUCUUUUCCCUCUUCCAGCGGCGAGCUCGCGGGCAGCAGACGCUCUUGCUGGGCUGCCAAACGUGUUGCAGAAAAAUGUGUUUGUGAAACGCUUUCCAGGAAGAGUUGAUCAGUUUAACCUCCAUCGUCCCUGCUGAGUCCUGAGGCUCCAUCACAACAAUCUUCUGUUUUAUUUAAAGAACCUCCAGGAAAACCAACAGAUUGUGUACUGAAUGAUUGCUGAAAUGUUUGUUUGUGAAUGAACAUAAACUUGAAUUAUUUCAAUGGUAAUUAUUGGAAUAUAUUUAUAGGAAACACGUAUUUCUCUACAUUUAGCUCAUUUGACUGCCCUGAUUAAUCUGAAAUCUGAGGGAUCUCUGGUCACCUUCCUCUACAUCUUUAUCUUCACCAGGAGGAAACUGUCUGCUUUUGUUCCUUUGAUGCUCACAUGUUCAUGUGUGUCAGAUGCUUGACAGAUAGGAGAGAUUUUACACUUUAUUGCAAAAUGCAUGACAAUCGAUAAGUAACCACAGCACUCCACCCUUUAAUGCUGAAGGUGAAGUUAAACCUUCUCUGUGGACACACAAACUCUCCUCCAAACUAUCAGGAGACAUCUGACGAUGUCUCCGAGGACGUCUCCGGAUGCCUUCGGAGACGUCCGGUGACAGUUUGCUGCCAGCCUGACGAUAAAGGAGCAGGUCCUGAGGGAUCUGGACCCGGGCCGGGCCUCGUGGCAGCAGAACAGAGGCCUAGCCGGGCAUUAAUAUGGAUGUCCACCAGGCGCCUCUCUGUGCGAGCUGCCACCAGCCGCUCUGUGCCAGCCAAUAGCAGCGCAGAGGCUACCUGCCAAGGUCAUCAAUAAACAUCCUCAGAUGGCUCCUUGUGUCUCCAGCACAGCGGCCUGGAGAGGGUCCACGGGGGGUACUUUCACUGCUCAGAACUUUGCUUGCUUCAGAGACAGCAGCAGAUAAAGUACUUCUGCUACUGAGACAAUCGAUGGAACAUCAAGAAGCUGCCUGUUGAAUUCUCCAUCUGGUCCAUUUGGUGACUUAUGUGUAGAUUAAAUAGGCGGGAUGUGUGUCAGCGUUAAACCCAAAGUGACUCACUCCGCUAACACCUAACGUCACAUUUCAGGGGCUGGAGAGAAAAAAACACAAAUCCUGUAGAAACAUCAGUCCAAAGAGU
ensembl:lncRNA